GAUUAUCGCAAGUAAGACUUGUUGUAUCGAUGAAAUUUUUUCUCGGAUUCAAGGAAACCAGACUGAAUAUAAAGUGAACAUUUAUUUCGUGCGCGUGUUUUUUUCCAUUUUGGUGUCAUAGAAAACACGUUGACAGCCCUUAGUAGAUGCAACUGGUGCGCACCUGGUUCAUUUUUUCCUAAUUCAGGAUUUCUCUAGUCAAAGUUGUGUAGAUUGUUCAUGUACUUUCUAAUAGUUUCCUGGGAAUUAUUCUCAUGUCUUUAAAGUAUUAUUUUCGAUAUAAAAUUAAUUUUGCAACUGCCCAGGUUCGAACUGAGGACCUAUUGCGUGUGAGGCAAUCGUGAUAACCACUACACUACAGAUGCUUGUGGUUGAGUGAUCGAAUGUGUAAUGUAAUAAUCUGGAUGAAUGGUUCGCAUCACCAGCUAAUGGAUGGUUUAAUUGUGCAGCAGUAUUCAAGUGUGUGCAUUAAUUAGUGUGGAAAUCCCCUUAGAAGUUGUCCCAGCUAGUUGAGACUUCCUUAAAUCGUGCAACAUCCGCUGGCCAGUCAGUCGUGCUGUAUCAGUGAUUCGCAGUUUCCGGAAACCGUACUGGAAUUUCCAAUGCAGCUACCCGCUACCGGUAUAUAACCAACCCGCAGGAUAACCAACGCUAGUUGCCUCCAAAUUAUUCCCCAGUCGCCAGUCUUUGAUGGUCGCUAGAAGUUUGGGUUCAAACAUGAAGCAAAUGAACGUCGUCGUUUAUGUUAUGUACGUCAUCUAUGUUAUGUGGAUGGUCGCAUUUUUGGCUGUGGUGUCGUCGAAGCCGACAGUGGAAGUCGGGACGGACGUGGUCGUCGAAAUUCUGCGGGCCAUCGAUGGACGCCAAGAUAUGCAGAGAGUCGCAGGUUACCUGAACGCCUCACGUGACGACCUGGCGAAACAGCUGCCCCUCCUUAGUUCAAAUGGGACAAAGUUGAGCUACACUUUCUUCGCUCCAACGUCGUUUGCCUUCACGAUGCAAACGCCCCAGGACACGGUGGACCCGCUCUUCGUGGACGCCAGUCUCCGUAACAAGGUCCUGAUUCGCCAUUUCGCUCGCCAAAGCAUUUCGUCCGACCAGCUGGCCAAAUUGGACAAGCUCGUCAUGGCCGACUCUAGAGAGGCCGUUAUAACUCGAACAGCUGACGGGAAGAUUUCAAUUGACAACGCGGAAAUCCAACCAGGAGCCAUCGCGUUGUCGCAAAAUUUGGGCAACGUCUACCUAGUCGAACGAGUUUUCAUGACCGGAGAUGAAGUGAGCAACGCCAUCAGCGCCCAUUUCCAGAAAAAUCCUAACACUGCUCUGUGUCUCGGCCGGCCCUGCUCGUCCAUAGGUGGUGCUACCGUUAUUGCACCACCACCCGCUCCGUCACCGUCCAUCCCGAUCUUGGGUGGUUUCACCAGCGUCUCAAUUAACGACGCCGUCGUUCUAGAGAUGGCUAGAUUCGCCACCAAUGCGUUGAGUGUCAACAAGGCGUCACCGCUCGUCUUGGUCGGCGUCGUCAAGGCUGAAAAGCAAAUGGUUGCCGGCGUCAAUUAUCGACUCCAAUUAAAAUUCAAUGGACAAUUGGAAAGCGAGGAAAAUCAUUUCAUCGACUGUCAAGUGACUGUCUUCGACCAAGUAUGGACGGCGACUCGUCAGAUUACCUCAUUCCAAUGUACCCCUUAACCAUUCACAUCCCCUGACUGAUAUCAAUUUAAAAUAUUUCAUAGCAUUUGGAACCGUUUGGAACAUUAUCCCUUCAUUAAAUUAUUUGAUGAGCUCUUAUUAUAUUGUUAUUGCGUAUUCUUUCAUUAUAUUCUUGGUGUGUAAUAACGGUAGAGCAAAUAGAGCAUUCUAUGGAGAGCAACCGUGACUUCGUUAACCGAGCGCGCACAGUCAAAGGGUCAAAAACCCAAAUAUGUCGACAUUUCAUCAGGGCAACAAAAAACAAAAGAGACGACCAGUUUUAUCGCACAUCUCGGGACUCAAUUCCCAUCAGUUGCUAUCUCGUCAUUUCGGUGCAUCCCUUUUUUUUCCUUUCUUCUUUACCAGUUUUUCUUAUACUUAGUUGCUCGGGAUUUUGAAUUUAAAGUACACGUAACCUGAAAAUGGAAUUUACUGCUGCUGAACCAGCACAGCUGCAUACACAAUCCGCACCUUUUAUAGGCUACGUCAUCAAUCGACUGUUGUAUGCGGAAAACUCAAGUGUCGACAACGAGAGUAUUACUACUAGCAUGAAGCAUAACACUAUCGUCAAUUGUGUGUUGAUGGCCGCCACUUUUUGGGCUAUGGCGUCAUCGAAACCAACUCCGGCUGACACCGGAAGAGGUGUACCCCUGAAAAAUGUGCCUAGUAGCGACAAACCGGCUCAAGCGUCUGGAUCGAUUCCCAUCUACAAGCCGGAUGAACUUGAGGCUGUACAUAUGGAAAGUUGCGUAAAGCAAUGCAAACUGGACUGGAGAUUCGGACACGGUUGGGAGAGCUGGGUCAGCCAUUGUAUGAAACAUGAGUGCGGAGUCGAACCCGACCCUUACGAAUCCGAGGUCUUUGAUUUCUAUGUUAGGUACUAGCUGAUCGAUGGCACUGUAAAUAUUUAUAAUAAUAAUGUAAUACGGUUCUGGGUCUGCGCUCGAAUACACUUGAAAUCUUGUA
rnacentral:tRNA from 1 species